rnacentral:rRNA from 1 species
UACGGAGGGUGCAAGCGUUGUUCGGAAUCAUUGGGCGUAAAGCGGGUGUAGGCGGCUUGGCAAGUCGAGUGUGAAAUCCCUGGGCCCAACCCAGGAACUGCACUCGAAACUGCCUCGCUAGAGUCCCGGAGAGGGUGGCGGAAUUCCCGGUGUAGAGGUGAAAUUCGUAGAUAUCGGGAGGAACACCAGUGGCGAAGGCGGCCACCUGGACGGUGACUGACGCUCAGACCCGAAAGCGUGGGGAGCAAACAGG